rnacentral:tRNA from 1 species
UCCCCUGUGGUGUAACCAGGCAGCACCCCAAGUUUUGGUCUUGGUAGUCAAGGUUCGAAUCCUUGCGGGGGAG